rnacentral:rRNA from 1 species
UACGAAGGGGGCGAGCGUUGUUCGGAAUUACUGGGCGUAAAGGGCGCGUAGGCGGCGCAACAAGUCACUUGUGAAAUCUCCGGGCUUAACCCGGAGCGGCCAAGUGAUACUGUCGUGCUAGAGUGCGGAAGAGGCGAGUGGAAUUCCUGGUGUAGCGGUGAAAUGCGCAGAUAUCAGGAGGAACACCUAUUGCGAAGGCAGCUCGCUGGGACGUAACUGACGCUGAGACGCGAAAGCGUGGGGAGCAAACAGG